UACAGAGGUCUCGAGCGUUUGUUCGGAUUCAUUGGGCGUAAAGGGUGCGUAGGCGGCGUGGCAAGUCUGAUGUGAAAUCCCGGGGCUCAACCCCGGAACUGCAUUGGAUACUGCCAUGCUAGAGUACUGGAGAGGAGAUUGGAAUUUACGGUGUAGCAGUGAAAUGCGUAGAUAUCGGGAGGAACACCAGUGGCGAAGGCGACUUCCUGGCCUGUUCUUGACGCUGAGGCGCGAAAGCUAGGGGAGCAAACGGG
rnacentral:rRNA from 1 species